CCUACGGGGGGCAGCAGUGGGGAAUAUUGGACAAUGGGGGCAACCCUGAUCCAGCCAUGCCGCGUGUGUGAAGAAGGCCCUCGGGUUGUAAAGCACUUUCAGUGAGGAAGAACGCCUGGUGGUUAAUACCCAUCAGGAAAGACAUCACUCACAGAAGAAGCACCGGCUAACUCCGUGCCAGCAGCCGCGGUAAUACGGAGGGUGCGAGCGUUAAUCGGAAUUACUGGGCGUAAAGCGCGCGUAGGUGGCUUGAUAAGCCGGUUGUGAAAGCCCCGGGCUCAACCUGGGAACGGCAUCCGGAACUGUCAAGCUAGAGUGCAGGAGAGGAAGGUAGAAUUCCCGGUGUAGUGGUGAAAUGCGUAGAGAUCGGGAGGAAUACCAGUGGCGAAGGCGGCCUUCUGGACUGACACUGACACUGAGGUGCGAAAGCGUGGGUAGCAAACAGGAUUAGAUACCCGUGUAGUC
rnacentral:rRNA from 1 species